AAGAUUUUGUAUGUUACUAGUGAUCAUAACCCUACAUUUCUCAGGUAUAAUAAUAAUAAGUUACUUAUCUAAUCAAAAAAUAACCAAUCCAAAUUUGUAAACAUAAAUAAUAAAGAUAAUCCAUAUAGAUAAAUAUAUACUGGACAGAGCUGAAUUGUAUCAAUAUGUAUUUAUUUAUUAAUCACUAUGUAACCAAAAAAAAACCAGUUAAUUAAAUUUAAUGUGUUUAAACUCUCAGAAACUAAUUUUAUCAUACAUAACCUAUGCAAACAGUACAUUUUUUUUUCAUAAUAAAUACUAAGUAUUAUUAGGGAACAGGGGAGUUUCCUGAUGAAUCUUCAGAUUCUUCUUUAUAGAUUCAUUUUGAUGAGCUAAGAUUAAACAAAUUAAAUUUGAACCUUAUUCAAUUUUACACUUUAAACAAAUAACUUAUCAUUACAUACUACCUAUUAUUAUUAUUAUUUUUUUUUUUCUACUAAAAUACUUCAAUGAAAUUAAUAGUCCAAAUAUUUGUUUUAUACCUAAGUUGGGUUUACUUAAUAGCUUUGUGUCAAACUAUUUAUUUUAACAUAUCUUUAAGAAUUAUAAGCAGAAAAAUAAUUAAAGUUUAUUUCACAAUUUUAUAUAAUAAAUAAUCCAUCAAUAUUUUUUUCCAUAAUAUUUAAAAUUUAUUUUAUAUUAAGGAUAUAAUAAGGUACAAUUUUAAUUUAAUUUUUAAUCUGGGCUAUUUGAUUAAUUUAUAUUUACAUACAUAAUAGUAUUUUAUAAUUUUAAAAUUGACUUGUUAAAAUUAAUAAUAUAAAUAUUCACUAUUGUUAACAAAAUUCUUUUAUUCAUUGUUUAUUAUUUUUAUAUUGUAAUACAGCAUUCCUAUUAAUAGUUAAGCUUAAAUAUCAUAUGUUAUAUAAAUCAUAAUAUUAAUUUGUUUAUUAUUUUUCACAUAUUAUUAUAUCAAUAUGUUAAUUUUUUGACUUUUGAUCUAUGGUAGCAAUCUGUCUACACACCCAACAAAAAAGGAUCAUUUAUUUUACCUACUUAUUCUUAGUAAUUUUUUUUAGCUUAAGUAAUUUGCAAGUAAAAUUGACUUAUUGAAUUUAAUAAUAUUUUAAAUAUUCACAGUUGUUAAUAAAAUUACUACAUUCAUUAUGUUAUUGUUUUGAUAUUAUAAUAUAACGUUCACAUUAAAU